rnacentral:rRNA from 1 species
GCAGUAGCCACGGUAAUACGUAGGUCCCGAGCGUUGUCCGGAUUUAUUGGGCGUAAAGCGAGCGCAGGCGGUUAGAUAAGUCUGAAGUUAAAGGCAUCGGCUCAACCAAUGUAUGCUUUGGAAACUGUUAGACUUGAGUGCAGAAGGGGAGAGUGGAAUUCCAUGUGUAGCGGUGAAAUGCGUAGAUAUAUGGAGGAACACCGGUGGCGAAAGCGGCUCUCUGGUCUGUCACUGACGCCGAGGCUCGAAAGCGUGGGUAGCGAACAGGAUUAGAUACCCCUGUAGUCCCUGUCUCUUAUACC